UACGGAGGGUGCAAGCGUUAUCCGGAUUCACUGGGUUUAAAGGGUGCGUAGGCGGAAUUAUAAGUCAGUGGUGAAAGCCCCGAGCUCAACUUGGGAACUGCCAUUGAUACUGUUUUUCUUGAGUGUGGUUGAAGUGGGCGGAAUAUGACAUGUAGCGGUGAAAUGCUUAGAUAUGUCAUAGAACACCGAUUGCGAAGGCAGCUCACUAAACCAUUACUGACGCUGAGGCACGAAAGCGUGGGGAGCGAACAGG
rnacentral:rRNA from 1 species